UGGGGGAUCGUCUAGUGGUAGGACAACGGACUCUGACUCCGUUAACCUAGGUUCGAAUCCUAGUCCCCCAGCCA
rnacentral:tRNA from 1 species